rnacentral:rRNA from 1 species
AUUGAACGCUGGCGGCAGGCCUAACACAUGCAAGUCGAACGAGUGGCGGACGGGUGAGUAAUGUCUGGGAAACUGCCCGAUGGAGGGGGAUAACUACUGGAAACGGUAGCUAAUACCGCAUACCAUCGGAUGUGCCCAGAUGGGAUUAGCUAGUAGGUGGGGUAACGGCUCACCUAGGCGACGAUCCCUAGCUGGUCUGAGAGGAUGACCAGCCACACUGGGACGGAGACACGGUCCAGACUCCUACGGGAGGCAGCAGUGGGGAAUAUUGGACAAUGGGCGAAAGCCUGAUGCAGCCAUGCCGCGUGUAUGAAGAAGGCCUUCGGGUUGUAAAGUACUUUUAGCAGGGAAGCGUUACUCGCAGAAGAAGCAUCGGCUAACUCCGUGCCAGCAGCCGCGGUAAUAC